CAACUCUCUGCAAUCUCUGUCUCCCAGGUUCCAGCAAUUCUCCCACCUCAGCCUCUCAAGUAGCUGGGACUACAGGCACACGCCACCAUGCCUGGCUCAUUUUUGUAUUUUUUGGUAGAGACAGGGUUUCACCACAUUGGCCAGGCUGGUCUUGAACUUCUGACCUCAAGUGAUCCGCCUGCCUUGGCCUCCCGAAGUGCUGGAAUUAUAAGUGUGAGCCACUGUGCCCAGCUUGAGCCAACCUAAGUCUUAUCAAGCCUAGAAAACAUGGAGGACCUUAGGAGGGUGUCCUGAUCUUGUACACUGUGGAAUUCCACAUGCCACAGCCCCUGCCUAUCCAAAGUGCUUUGUUACCAACACAGUUUUGGACAAGAAACUAAAGUCAGAAAGUGGCAAGGCCUGGGCCUCAGUGCUCUGAAGUCUUCAUAAAAUAGCAUAAAUAUCCAACCUCUAGGAAGGAAACAAGAAGGUAUCAGGGAACAGGGUUUUAUGGCCAAUUUGCAGACAACUUCCCAGAGAAGCAACUUUGGUCUGUGUGCGUCUGUAGGACACUGAGUUCAGGGGCAGCCUAAAGAAGACCAAGAGUGCUCCUCUUUAUUUUUAUUUGUUUAUUUUUAUUUUUUGAGACGGAGUCUCG
rnacentral:lncRNA from 1 species